rnacentral:rRNA from 1 species
AACCCUUAUCCUUGUUGCCAGCGGUCGGCCGGGAACGUCAAGGAGACUGCCAGUGAUAAACUGGAGGAAGGUGGGGAUGACGUCAAGUCAUCAUGGCCCUUACGACCAGGGCUACACACGUGCUACAAUGGCGCAUACAAAGAGAAGCGACCUCGCGAGAGCAAGCGGACCUCAUAAAGUGCGUCGUAGUCCGGAUUGGAGUCUGCAACUCGACUCCAUGAAGUCGGAAUCGCUAGUAAUCGUGGAUCAGAAUGCCACGGUGAAUACGUUCCCGGGCCUU